rnacentral:ncRNA from 1 species
UCAUCCAUGAUCCGCUUCGGUUCCGGCAAAACCGGAUGAAAAGGGAACUGCGGUGAGCCUUCGGGCAAAACCGCGGCUGCCCCCGCAACUGUGAGCGGCGAGCGACGGCCCAGAACGUCACUGGAGGUCCGGCCUCCGGGAAGACCGGCCCGAGCGAUGACCCGUGAGCCAGGAGACCUGCCGCAGCGCUCACCCAUUU